rnacentral:rRNA from 1 species
AACGAACGCUGGCGGCAGGCUUAACACAUGCAAGUCGAACGCACCUUUCGGGGUGAGUGGCAGACGGGUGAGUAACGCGUGGGAAUCUACCCUUCUCUACGGGAUAGCUCCGGGAAACUGGAAUUAAUACCGUAUACGUCCUGAGGGAGAAAGAUUUAUCGGGGAAGGAUGAGCCCGCGUUGGAUUAGCUAGUUGGUGGGGUAAAGGCCUACCAAGGCGACGAUCCAUAGCUGGUCUAAGAGGAUGAUCAGCCACAUUGGGACUGAGACACGGCCCAAAAUCCUACGGGAGGCAGCAGUGGGGAAUAUUGGAAAAUGGGCGCAAGCCUGAACCAGCCAUGCCGCGUGAGUGAUGAAGGCCCUAGGGUUGUAAAGCUCUUUCAGUGGGGACGAUAAUGACGGUACCCACAGAAGAAGCCCCGGCUAACUUCGUG